UGCAGUCGAACGAUGAAGCCCAGCUUGCUGGGUGGAUUAGUGGCGAACGGGUGAGUAACACGUGAGUAACCUGCCCUUAACUCUGGGAUAAGCCUGGGAAACUGGGUCUAAUACCGGAUAGGAGCGUCCACCGCAUGGUGGGUGUUGGAAAGAUUUAUCGGUUUUGGAUGGACUCGCGGCCUAUCAGCUUGUUGGUGAGGUAAUGGCUCACCAAGGCGACGACGGGUAGCCGGCCUGAGAGGGUGACCGGCCACACUGGGACUGAGACACGGCCCAGACUCCUACGGGAGGCAGCAGUGGGGAAUAUUGCACAAUGGGCGCAAGCCUGAUGCAGCGACGCCGCGUGAGGGAUGACGGCCUUCGGGUUGUAAACCUCUUUCAGUAGGGAAGAAGCGAAAGUGACGGUACCUGCAGAAGAAGCACCGGCUAACUACGUGCCAGCAGCCGCGGUAAUACGUAGGGUGCGAGCGUUAUCCGGAAUUAUUGGGCGUAAAGAGCUCGUAGGCGGUUUGUCGCGUCUGUCGUGAAAGUCCGGGGCUUAACCCCGGAUCUGCGGUGGGUACGGGCAGACUAGAGUGCAGUAGGGGAGACUGGAAUUCCUGGUGUAGCGGUGGAAUGCGCAGAUAUCAGGAGGAACACCGAUGGCGAAGGCAGGUCUCUGGGCUGUAACUGACGCUGAGGAGCGAAAGCAUGGGGAGCGAACAGGAUUAGAUACCCUGGUAGUCCAUGCCGUAAACGUUGGGCACUAGGUGUGGGGACCAUUCCACGGUUUCCGCGCCGCAGCUAACGCAUUAAGUGCCCCGCCUGGGGAGUACGGCCGCAAGGCUAAAACUCAAAGGAAUUGACGGGGGCCCGCACAAGCGGCGGAGCAUGCGGAUUAAUUCGAUGCAACGCGAAGAACCUUACCAAGGCUUGACAUGUUCUCGAUCGCCGUAGAGAUACGGUUUCCCCUUUGGGGCGGGUUCACAGGUGGUGCAGGGUUGUCGUCAGCUCGUGUCCUGGAGAUGUUGGGGUUAAGUCCCGCAACGAGCGCAACCCUCGUUCCUGGUUGCCGGCACGUCAU
rnacentral:rRNA from 1 species